UACAUAGGUCUCAAGCGUUGUUCGGAUUCAUUGGGCGUAAAGGGUGCGUAGGCGGCGCGGCAAGUCGGGUGUGAAAUCUCGGAGCUUAACUCCGAAACUGCAUUCGAUACUGCCGUGCUUGAGGACUGGAGAGGAGACUGGAAUUUACGGUGUAGCGGUGAAAUGCGUAGAUAUCGUAAGGAAGACCAGUGGCGAAGGCGGGUCUCUGGACAGUUCCUGACGCUGAGGCACGAAGGUCAGGGGAGCAAACGGG
rnacentral:rRNA from 1 species